rnacentral:rRNA from 1 species
ACGCACGCUGGCGGCGUGCUUAACACAUGCCAGUCGAACGGAAAGGCCCUGCUUUUGUGGGGUGCUCGAGUGGCGAACGGGUGAGUAACACGUGAGUAACCUGCCCUUGACUUUGGGAUAACUUCAGGAAACUGGGGCUAAUACCGGAUAGGAGCUCCUGCUGCAUGGUGGGGGUUGGAAAGUUUCGGCGGUUGGGGAUGGACUCGCGGCUUAUCAGCUUGUUGGUGGGGUAGUGGCUUACCAAGGCUUUGACGGGUAGCCGGCCUGAGAGGGUGACCGGCCACAUUGGGACUGAGAUACGGCCCAGACUCCUCCGGGAGGCAGCAGUGGGGAAUAUUGCACAAUGGGCGGAAGCCUGAUGCAGCAACGCCGCGUGCGGGAUGACGGCCUUCGGGUUGUAAACCGCUUUCGCCUGUGACGAAGCGUGAGUGACGGUAAUGGGUAAAGAAGCACCGGCUAACUACGUG